ACAAUGGGCGAAAGCCUGAUGCAGCGACGCCGCGUGAGGGAUGACGGCCUUCGGGUUGUAAACCUCUUUCAGCAGGGAAGAAGCGCAAGUGACGGUACCUGCAGAAGAAGCACCGGCUAACUACGUGCCAGCAGCCGCGGUAAUACGUAGGGUGCGAGCGUUGUCCGGAAUUAUUGGGCGUAAAGAGCUUGUAGGCGGUUUGUCGCGUCUGCCGUGAAAAUUCGAGGCUCAACCUCGAACUUGCGGUGGGUACGGGCAGACUAGAGUGUGGUAGGGGAGACUGGAAUUCCUGGUGUAGCGGUGAAAUGCGCAGAUAUCAGGAGGAACACCGAUGGCGAAGGCAGGUCUCUGGGCCACUACUGACGCUGAGAAGCGAAAGCAUGGGGAGCGAACAGGAUUAGAUACCCUGGUAGUCCAUGCCGUAAACGUUGGGAACUAGGUGUGGGUCUCAUUCCACGAGAUCCGUGCCGCAGCUAACGCAUUAAGUUCCCCGCCUGGGGAGUACGGCCGCAAGGCUAAAACUCAAAGGAAUUGACGGGGGCCCGCACAAGCGGCGGAGCAUGCGGAUUAAUUCGAUGCAACGCGAAGAACCUUACCAA
rnacentral:rRNA from 1 species